CGACCCCGGGCUGGACUCCACUUCGUCCACAGUGAAAGCCGAUCUGGUGAUCCACGGUGCAAAGUUGAUGUAUUUCCUCAGCGACCAGCACGGAUCAGCUCCAGGCAUGAGAAAGCAGAUGUCCUCUUUUGGAAGACCAAACAAAGUAGUUUCGCUUUCACAGUGAAACACACAGCGUCUAUACGACAUGUCAGCGGCAACAACAAUACUACAAUGAGAAUAAAAGAGCAUCCUGUGAGCUGGAAAACACUGAUUUAUGAUGCUUUUUGUUCUUCUGCUCGUGUCUUCCAGUGAAGGAUGAUAAUCACACAGUUCUUCUGAGAAGAUGUUGGCCAUCUGCAGGUUUCAUCUGCUCUGCCAAUGAGACGAGACAGAUGCGUUAAACAUAAACAGAAGUAAAUGACCCUACACGUUAAACGGGAUCGGAUGUCAAGGCCUGAUCUGAAUGACAGGACUGUCCUUUUCUAGCAUUUCUAUUCAUCUCAGAGGAGUUUGAUCAGGAUCUUCAUAAGGACGUGAUCAGUCAGAAACACACAUCAUUCACUGUGAGCCUGCUGAGCAAAUAUAACAGGAUUUUCACUAAUGGAGUAUUAAAAGGCCGUGCAUUUAGCAUUAUUUAGUCAUUCUUAUGCACAAUGUGAAACCACUAAAUUGGCUUAUUGCUAUUAUGAAACAUCUGAAAACAGUAAAAUAAUAAAGUGCAAAAAUGUUUGAUAAAUGUGACCCGG
ensembl:lncRNA